rnacentral:rRNA from 1 species
UGGGGAAUAUUUGACAAUGGGCGCAAGCCUGAUCCAGCCAUGCCGCGUGAGUGAUGAAGGCCCUAGGGUUGUAAAGCUCUUUCGGCUGGGAUGGUAUGGCUAAUAUCCAUGUCAUUUGACGGUACCAGAAGAAGAAGCACCUGCUAACUUC